AUGCUCCCCACAUAUACAUAUAUGGGGAGCAUAUAGUUGCCAGUUUGUCCUUCCGCACUUCCGUACUUCCGUACGGUCACACUUUUGUUACAGUUUCUCAUAGCACCUUCAAUACUUUUCCGAUCUCUUUCAUAUUUGGCAUGUAGAUACUUUGCAUGGACCUCUACCUUUUGAUGACUUUUGAGGUCACUGGGGUCAAGGUCACCAAGGCUAAUAAUAGACUUUUGUUACAGUUUCUCAUAGCACCUUCAAUACUUUACCGAUCUCUUUCAUAUUUGGCAUGUAGAUACCUUGCAUGGACCUCUACCUUUUGAUGACGUUUGAGGUCACUGGGGUCAAGGUCACCAAGGCUAAUAAUAGACUUUUGUUACAGUUUCUCAUAGCACCUU